UGAGGAAUAUUGGUCAAUGGACGAGAGUCUGAACCAGCCAAGUAGCGUGAAGGAUGACUGCCCUAUGGGUUGUAAACUUCUUUUAUACGGGAAUAAAGUGAGCCACGUGUGGCUUUUUGUAUGUACCGUAUGAAUAAGGAUCGGCUAACUCCGUGCCAGCAGCCGCGGUAAUACGGAGGAUCCGAGCGUUAUCCGGAUUUAUUGGGUUUAAAGGGAGCGUAGGCGGGUUGUUAAGUCAGUUGUGAAAGUUUGCGGCUCAACCGUAAAAUUGCAGUUGAUACUGGCGACCUUGAGUGCAACAGAGGUAGGCGGAAUUCGUGGUGUAGCGGUGAAAUGCUUAGAUAUCACGAAGAACUCCGAUUGCGAAGGCAGCUUACUGGAUUGUAACUGACGCUGAUGCUCGAAAGUGUGGGUAUCAAACAGG
rnacentral:rRNA from 2 species